GAGAACCCCAUCACCAUCCAGUGGGAGCCCCGUUCCUCCAGCUCUGCCAGGAAGAAACUCUGGACGGGGAUCAUGGGGGCUGUGAUAGGAGUGGCCUUCCUGGCUGUGGGGCUCUUCUCCUACCUGAAGAGCAAGAAAGCCACUCCCAUCCAACCUCCUGCAG